CAAGCGCAGUAAGGGCAAAUGGUGGACACCUUGGUAGCUGAAAGCGAUGAAGGACGUGGCUAGCUGCGAUAAGCCUCGGGGAGCCGCUAAGCAGGCUUUGAUCCGUGGAUUUCUGAAUGGGAGUGCCCCCUAUGGUGAAGCCAUAGGAGUUCGCACUGAAACUAAAGUAGGUGCGUCCAGCGAACCCGGCGAAGUGAAACAUCUCAGUAACCGGAGGAAAAGAAAUCAAAAGAGAUUCCCUUAGUAGUGGCGAGCGAAACGGGAAGAGCCUAAACCAGCAGAAUGUAAGACUGCAUUCGUUGUUCUGUUGGGGUUGUAAGUCAGUGUCAUCUCACCGAUGCAGGGGUGGGCAGGGUUAAAAGUGACGUCUAGUAGAACAGUCCGCAAAGUCUCUGGAAAGGACGACCGCAGAGGGUGAUAGUCCCGUACACGAAAGGCCGAUCUACCCUGGAUGCUGACUUGAGUAGCGCCGGACACGUGAAAUCCGACGUGAAUCUGGGAGGACCACCUCCUAAGGCUAAAUAUUCUCAGCUGACCGAUAGUGAACUAGUACCGCGAGGGAAAGGUGAAAAGCACCCCGGGAGGGGAGUGAAAUAGAACUUGAAACCAUUUGCUUACAGACAGUGGGAGCACCCACAAAUCGCCUUUGGGCAUUUAAUCGGGUGUGACCGCAUGCCUAUUGUAGUAUGAGCCGGCGAGUUACGGUAUGUGGCAAGGUUAAGCCGAUAGAGGUGUAGCCGAAGCGAAAGCGAGUCUGAAUAGGGCAAAUAGUCACAUGUCGUAGACCCGAAGCCAAGUGAACUAGCCAUGGGCAGGUUGAAGUGUACUUGACCGUACAUGAAGGACCGAACCCACUAGCGUUGAAAAGCUAGGGGAUGACCUGUGGUUAGGGGCGAAAAACCAAUCGAACUUGGUGAUAUCUGGCUCUCCCCGAAAUAGCUUUAGGGCUAGCCUCGUGUUAUAGACUGUUGGGGGUAGAGCACUGAUCGGGGAAGGGGGGCAACUCUCGACCCUAAGCAAACUCCGAAUACCAGCAGAUCGUUUCACGGGAGUCAGGGCGUGGGUGAUAACGUCCACGCUCGAGAGGGAAACAACCCAGACCGCCAGCUAAGGUCCCCAAAUCCAUGCUAAGUGGGAAAGGAAGUGUUGUUGUCGAGACAGCUGGGAGGUUGGCUUAGAAGCAGCCAUCCUUUAAAGAGUGCGUAAUAGCUCACCAGUCUAACGGCGAUGCGCCGAAAAUUUAACGGGGCUAAGCGUGGUACCGAAGCUGCGGGAUGCCGUUCUUUCGAGCGGUAUUGGUAGGGGAGCAUUCCGUUAACGGGUGAAGCUAAGCUGGAAGGCUUGGUGGACGAGACGGAAGAGAGAAUGCCGGCAUGAGUAGCGCGAGCAAUGUGAGAAUCAUUGCCACCGAAUGCCUAAGGUUUCCUGGGGAAGGCUUGUCCUCCCAGGGUUAGGCGGAACCUAAGUUGAACCCGAAAGGGGUAGGCGAUGGACAGCAGGUUAAUAUUCCUGCGCCUCUAAUCUUGCAUUUGAGCAAAGGGGGGACCCCGAAGGGCCCUCUCCGCACACUGACGGAAUAGUGUGUCCAAGCACCAAGGUAGGGAGAAUAGGCAAAUCCGUUCUCCCGUUAAGUCGAGGUGUGAUGGCGAGCCCGCUUUAGGGCGAAGGGAGAAGGGGUCAUCGGGCGAGAAAAUCCUCUAGCGAGCAAGAAAGAGUCCGUACCGCAAACCGACACAGGUAGGCGAGUUGAGUAUACUAAGG
rnacentral:rRNA from 1 species